rnacentral:rRNA from 1 species
AACGAACGCUGGCGGCAUGCCUAACACAUGCAAGUCGAACGAGACCUUCGGGUCUAGUGGCGCACGGGUGCGUAACGCGUGGGAAUCUGCCCCUGGGUUCGGAAUAACAGCGAGAAAUUGCUGCUAAUACCGGAUGAUGACGAAAGUCCAAAGAUUUAUCGCCCAGGGAUGAGCCCGCGUAGGAUUAGCUAGUUGGUGAGGUAAAGGCUCACCAAGGCGACGAUCCUUAGCUGGUCUGAGAGGAUGAUCAGCCACACUGGGACUGAGACACGGCCCAGACUCCUACGGGAGGCAGCAGUGGGGAAUAUUGGACAAUGGGCGAAAGCCUGAUCCAGCAAUGCCGCGUGAGUGAUGAAGGCCUUAGGGUUGUAAAGCUCUUUUACCCGGGAUGAUAAUGACAGUACCGGGAGAAUAAGCUCCGGCUAACUCCGUG